UUGCGGGGGUGAACGGAGAUUAGCCCAUCACCGAAGUCUAUUCACUUUUGUGGACAGGACCAUGUGGUGUUCGGGUGUGCACCUGGGAAUGCUUGCCUACUCGAAGUCCAACUCCGAUUAUGGCUAGGACCAUGCCCAGAGCGGGUGAAAGGCCCGUUCGGGUAGGUUGCUGUUAUUUGAAGCAUUCCUCAGCCGUGCAUGCUCUCGAGUCGGAUUGCUUGAGAAUGCAGUCCAAAGAGGGUGGUAAACUCCAUCCAAGGCUAAAUACUGGCACGAGUCCGAUAGUAGACAAGUACCGUGAGGGAAAGUUGAAAAGUACUCUGAAGAGAGAGUAAAUAGCACGUGAAGCCGCUUGCAGGGAAGCUGGUGGAGUCAAGCUUCAUGUACGGAGAAUUGUCGUGAGGACCAUCGUUGUUGUCUGGGACGUGAUACUGAUGAGCCUUGAAAGGGUUUGAUGCAUCUCGGUGCAUUCCAAGUCUUUCUGGGUAGAAUGUUUGGAUUGGUAUCUAUCUCCCUGGUCCUCGUGCUCUUAUUCUCCGUUACAUACAUCACGGUCAAUAGGGGGAAAAAA
rnacentral:rRNA from 1 species